rnacentral:rRNA from 1 species
GACGAACCGAGCGAACGUUGUUCGGAAUCACUGGGCUUAAAGGGCGCGUAGGCGGGUGCUCAAGUCCGUGGGGAAAUCCUCCGGCUCAACCGGAGAACUGCCUCGGAUACUGGGUGCCUCGAGGGUGGUAGGGGUAUGCGGAACUAUCGGUGGAGCGGUGAAAUGCGUUGAUAUCGAUAGGAACUCCGGUGGCGAAGGCGGCAUACUGGACCACCUCUGACGCUGAGGCGCGAAAGCCAGGGGAGCAAACGGG